rnacentral:misc_RNA from 1 species
UAACUUGAAACCUAGUUUGAC